CAGCAGCUGUGCCCUGGAACCAAUGGUUUCUUACUGGAGGAGGAAGCCCUAAUGUGCUAAAUGGGGCAGGAGCGCUUUCGGGAGGGAGGGUUUAUAAGGCAGGAGCUGAGGAAGGGGCAGCACCCCCUAAAGGAGCCGGAGGGGCCGUGGGCAGGAGGCGGCAGCGAAGACGGCAGCAGUAGGAGAAGACAUAUUUUAAGACUGAAAUGGUUGGAUCUCACACUAGUACAGUGCAUCUCCUUUAUUAGCACCAAGCUUCUUGCAUGAAACUUUUUUCCCCAUGGUGGCGGAACUGCAACCCAAAUAACAGCACUUCUGUGCUUCGACAAACCAAUAAAAGGGCCAGUGUGCUGAGGAUAUCCCACAAACCUAGCCCUGCAGCAGGCUGUGCUCAUGUAGGAGGGAUGGAGAGAAACGUGAGCGGCUCUGGGAAGUACCAGGAGGGGACCUGUGCUGCUGGCGCAAUGUGUGCAGUGAGAACAUUCCAGUGGAGAAGAGUUUGUGCCAGAAUUUGCAAAGCAUGAUGAGGGCGAGCUGCGCUGCAGGAGGUUCAUCAGCUGGCAGUUAGAAAAAGUAUUAAAAAAAAGCUAUUGUGAAUUCCCAACCAGUGUGAACUUGUGGCUGCCCACCCGAAAGCUCCUGGAUGAGGAGAUCCCAUGGCAGUGUUCCUGGAGAACCACCCCGUGGGAUCACCGGCAGCAUGCCCAGAGUAUCCCUGCUUGCUAUGCUGCGUGCCUCGCCACACUGAGCUGCCUUUCCUGCUAGGUAUUCAUGGCUGCUGCUGGAAAGCCUCAGUCGUAAUGGGAUCAUUUUCCUGCAAGCUGUUUCAGAAGACAUCACCCAGCCAGUCAUAUUUCUGUGCAGCAUCUGUCAGGCUUCUGCACUCCAGCAAGCUUCAGACAGGACCAUUUAUAGUUUCAAUAAUGCUUUGUUCAAAGGCAGGUUAUGAUAACUUCCAUCUCUCUGUUUUGCAGAUAUGAUGUAAUUUGAACAUGUCUAUGGAAGUUUGAAUGAAGGAAUUGUCUUGUGUAUAUGAUGAAUAUUCUAAUUGAGAAUAAUAUUCAAUAAAGGCCAAGACAGGUGCUUUCUUCUUCUUGGGAUUCCUAAUUGCUGAUGUGUGACCAGAAUUUGUAUGUCCUCUUAAACAUCUUUCCAGUGGUUUCCUGGA